AGGGUAAUAGCUCAGUGGUAGAGUGCAUGCUUAGCAUGCAUGAGGUCCUGGGUUCAAUCCCCAGUACUUCUA
rnacentral:tRNA from 1 species